rnacentral:tRNA from 1 species
GAGGCUGUAGCUCAGUGCUGGAGCACGUGCUUAGCAGGCACGAGGUCCUGGGUUCAACUGUCAGUACCUCCA